CUGAUUGAUCCUGCCAGUAGUCAUAUGCUUGUCUCAAAGAUUAAGCCAUGCAUGUCAAAGUAUAAGCACUUGUACUGUGAAACUGCGAAUGGCUCAUUAAAUCAGUUAUCGUUUAUUUGAUUGUACCUUUACUACUUGGAUAACCGUGGUAAUUUUAGAGCUAAUACAUAAUAAUAAUAAUAAUAAUAAUAAUAAUAAUAAUAAUAAUAAUAAUAAUCUUUAUUGCCUUAGAUAAAUCAACAUGUCUAAGUUUACAAAAUGUAGGAGAAACCGAUUAUAAGUAAAUGCGCUACAUCAAUUAUAUGUCACUAUAUUUAAAGACAAGCCUAUUGACAAAAGUAUUUUUGAAUCGCUCUGAGUGAACCCUAGGAUAAAUCACAUUUCUUUUUCUGAGGUUGUAUUUUUGGUCUUUUUUCUUAGGCAGGAUUUUGCUCAGAGGAUAUUCAGGUUGAUCUAAGCGAGUACGAUAAAUCUUCUUAUCUGCCUCCUCUAGAAGUUUACGGA
rnacentral:ncRNA from 1 species